UCUUUGAGGAAAAACAGAAUAAAGUAUGAGUUCAUUGUUGAAAAUAUUAUAUGUAGUGUCAGUUUCCAGGAUGGAGAAAUAAACUGCAUAAGAAAGUGGCUGCAGGAAUAAUAAAAUGGGCUUAUUGCUCUUAUAAUUUAACUGAAAGUGCAAAUUUAAAACAAACUGUUGUCCAAAGAAAUACAACCAUGUGUAGACAUUACUGACGAUAAGAAUUUUCUUACCAAUUCUCACUCCAAGCAUCCCAGUUGCUGCUUUAUGUGAGACUGGCAGACGGAGCUCCUCUGUGUCCACUCCACUCGAGAGCACCUUGAACAGCCCCACUUUACAUGGCAUUUAGGACACACUGCCUCAUGGCUGUGUACAGGUUCUCUCAGUCGUCUGUUCUGUUCUGAACAGAAUGCACUAAUCUUAGGUAAACUUGAGUCAAGAGCUCACAGAGGAAAUAUCCAAUCUUGACAAAAGAACACCAACACGUGAUGGACCCCCAACCUCUCUUUUUCAACACCACAGAGUUUGUUAGUUUCAUUAAGGAGACUUGGAAGGCAAAUCCAUGAUAUUUAAAACAUGGAAGUAGGCGGAUGACUGUGUUUAGCCUGGCAAAAGCAUUGCAUUGAUAGUAAACAUCCUGAGCUCACAAGACAAAGUGCACAUUGUGCCUAGAUAAUAGAAGAGAAAAGACACAUUUUUGGAGUACCCCAUAAAUUCAUGUUAUUUUGGAAUCCAUAGAGUAUCUGAUCCUUCGGUAACCUUAAAAACUGUUGACCUGGAUGAAAAUAUACAAAGGUGUGUCAGAUUGCCAAAGAUGAGGAUGUUGUUGUGCUGCUCAUGAAAAUCUGAUAUCAGGAAGUGUUUGUUAGAAAGGCUCCCACUGUUUGUUUUCUGCCUUUUUAGAGCAGUAAGUUUAGAGUGCUGGAAUUUGAGGGCACAAUUGAGGUGGAGUUCACACCUGGUGUGUGGGUGAAAGAUGGUGUGUUAUGGUGGAAAACAACUUGUGAAUGUCAUCAAGCAGGCCAUGCUGCCUGACCCUCUGAACACAGUGGAUGUGUGACAGCCAGAUGUUUGAAACUGGUCUGGAAUUCUUAAAACCUGAACUUCAAUCUUAAUUGUAUGCAAUGAUGUCUGUAUGCAUGCUGUAUCACAAUUUCUGUUUACAACUGAUAAUUCUGAGCAGGGAUGGAGAAAAGUCAGGAAGGCUGAACUGCAGUCAGAGGUUGAGGGUCUGAACCAAAGGAAGCAGAGGAGGACGAUGUCUGUAUUGUUUUUUUGAAGCAAUCUUCAGACCAUCAUUAGUGAGACACACCUUCACUUACACUGUAGGCCCUUUCACAUAUUAAUACCAGGAAAUUCCCAGGUUAAGUUUUCAGGAAAUCAUGCCAUAAACCACAGGCCUUAUUGCCAGAAGCAUCACAUUCACACAAUACAAUGAAAAUCCCAGGGAGGAUGGAAAUCAUGAAUAUCUUGUGCUGUUAGAUGUAUAACAAAAGUGCUAUUGUUGGUUUUGUUUUUUUGCUUUUCUAGGCUGAGCAGUCAACUCUUAGUGGCUGCUUACUAAUCAGCUAUUGACAGUGAGGAUGAAGGAGGAGGCAGUAGGGGUCUUCCAAGGGCCCCAUGAAUCGGUCCUAAAACAUUCACAGCCCUGCACCCUGCUCUAAAUGUGGCUGGACCACAACAUCAUCACGGUGCCCUAUCAGAAUGUAACGUAUACAAUAUAGCUAAAGAAAAGGGAAAAUUAUAUAUUUCUGUCGUCACAGCUCAGCUGACCAUUGCAUCCAUGAUCAACUCCUGUAAAUUAAAUUGUUGUAGAAAGGGGAGGCUUCUCAAACUGACAAACACUCUCCAUUUGUUCAUACAAUGUUGAUUUUCACAUCCAAUUCACUUAUUCUACCUUUACAUUUUUACUUUUAAGUGUAAUUUUUCCGCACCCCCCUUUGUUCCUGCGUUCUGUUGAAAUUAAUCUUGCAGAUCUGUGGCCCCAGGAAACAUCUCAACUGGAGCAAACAGCACCACCUGCAGGUCAAUUCUUGAUGUUCAUCGAUGUCAAGGCCAAACCCAGUGGUUCCACCAUUCUCCACAGCAACUUACAAGGCUACAAAUCAGACAUGUAAAGGAAAUAAUCCUUGAGCAGCAGUCACUCAUUCUAAACUGACACAAGCACAGCAGCAGACCUCUACUGACAUCACCGAAGAGGGGAUUCUGCCACUAAACGACCCGAAAGCUCUGCACACUCAGGAAUGUCAACUGCACUGUCUAGACAUGAAAGAGAAAUUGUUCAGUCAUCCAAUUUUCAGCAAACAGCUUUUCAUGCAACUGAGAUCAAAUGAUCUUCACCUUUACACGUACACAGCCUACCUAUACUGUACAUUGGCCACAGUCACAUCCCCUAAGCUUAAUCAUUCAGGUCUGACCGGAGGAGAUGGUGUUUAAGAAUUAUGAAGAGAGUUCUGAGCAAAUGUGAAUUACAGGCAGGUCAAUGGGAAAACCUCCUUUGUCUCCCUUCAACCUAAAGAUGUUGUCAACUAGUAAAUAUCUUCCUUUUCUAUUCGCUUUGCUUUAGUAUAUCUGCAUUGUAAUUUUAUCAUAAUUAGUUUCACUCCAUUCUAGGCUUAGUGAUCACUGAUUUAUUAGUAUAUUUUUUAAACUAGAUAAUGUAAUACUGCCCAUGACUGUGUUAGUUAUACGCUUACAGUACAGUCUGUUUUAUAGGCAGACAUCACAGUUAAAAUGUUUGCACAUGUAUUUAACAUGAGUCACCCUUGAUGUCAUAACUAUUUAAAUGUCUCUUGGAUUUUAAGCUGCUAUUAGAAAAAAAAAAUAUUUGUACUUCAUGCUGUUACACUGUGGACCCUGA